GAAAGAUUUCAGGAUGGACAGGAGACUGCAAACAAAGCCCCUCUCACUGGGCAGGAGAGUCAAAUGUUUCCCCAACUUCUCCAAAGACGGUCUUUGACAAAUCUUCAGGACAAAACCUCAAGCUCAUGCGCUUUCCUGAACAGAGGAAGUAUCCUUUGCCUUUCCUGUGGAAUUGAUGAGACCAAAUGUCGUCAAACCUACUUCCAAGGCUUCUGAAGAGCCGCCAUAGUAUAAUGUGUCUUGUACCAUCUCAGUGAUUGAUUUGAAGCAAGCAACCACAAAUCCUACAGCUGUACAGAACUGGAUGCUGCCAACAUGGAAACAGGAAAGUGGAUGCGUCCUUAGACAAGCCUAUGGAUGAGAACCAACUCCAGAUGAUACCUUGACUGCUGCUCUGAAAGAUCCUAAUCAUAGGACCCAAGGAAGCUCUGCCUGGACUCCGGAGUCACACAAACAGAUGUGUUGUUUUAAUCCACUACAUUCAGUGGUGGUAAAUUGUGUUACACAGCAAUAUAUAAUGAAUAUCAUGUAAGUUUGGUUUGGUAGCUGUAGACAUUAGAACAUCUGUGAGAAAGCAAGUGUCUACUUAAAAUGUGACAUUCCAAAUAAUAUCCAAAUACCUCCAGGCACCACAGUCUGAGAGAGAGAAGGAGAGAGACAGAGAGAUGGAGAGAGAGACAACGAGAAGCAAAGUGAAUAGUAGUUCAAUGGGUUGUUUUCGUUUGGAAUUUAGUGAGGUUUGGGCCAUAAGAAAUUCUAUCCCAGUGCCCAGGAGACAGAAGAUGACAGACUUGGGCUGGGAAAUAGAAACAUUUUUUAUAUCGUCUCCCUCCCUCUCCCCACCAUCUUAGCCUAUUCUCUCUGGGCGAUGGAGCACAAAGCUGUGAAUGGCCCCUUCCUGAGCCACUUGGGUUCUUAAUCCUGUGUUAGGCCCAGCUCUCCCCCUAAACUUCCUUGCUCAUUAAUAAACUUUGGACAGAACACGUAAGUGUGUGGGGAGAGUGUUUUAGAAGAGCAACCAAGAUAUCCCAAAGUACUGCUAACUUGCUGACUUUACAGAAUUUAAUUUUAUUUUUUUCACUCUACAACCUCCACAUCCUGAAUCACAUUAUACAACCACAGCAGUAGCUGGAAUAUCUAUUGAGCUGGGCGGAGGCUGCAGGAAAGGUUGAUAAUGACAUCGUUUCCCUUUUGUUGCUUUACUUAUUUUCAAUCAAAUUGACUGCUUAUUCUGAUUGGGACGUGGAAGUAUGAGUUUUAGAGGAAGCAGAAUGAAUGGAGGACCAAAAACACAAUAGUCCGGAGAAAGAGGAGGCACGUGGGCGAGAUGAUGGAGAAGUAGGGUUGAUCAGUGUAGCCAUGAACUAAGCUUACUUCACCCCCAGUUACUCAACUGGUCACACCCACUGUUGCCUGUCUGACUCUCUCGGAGCCCGUGUAAUCUGCAGUGGGCCACAUGGCCCAAAGUUUGAAAACUUGCCUAACAAUAAUAGCCACAAUUUACUGAAUGAUUACCCGAUGCCAAUUACUACGGCACACUUUAAAAAUACAUUAUCUGGCUGGGUGUGGUGGCCCACCCCUGGAAUCCCAGCACUUUGGGAGGCUGAUGCGGGUGGAUUGUUUGAGGCCAGGAGUAUGAUACCAGCCUGGCCAACACGGCAAAACCCUGCCUUUACUGAAAAUACAAAAAUUAGCUGGGUGUGGUGACACACACCUGUAAUCCCAGCUACUCAGGAGGCUGAGGUGGGAGAAUCGCUUGAACCCAGGAGGUGGAGGUUGCAGUGAGCUGAGAUCAUGCCACUGCACUCCAGCCUGGCGACACAGCAAGAGUCUGUCUUCAAAAAAAUAAGUUAAAUAAAUAAAAUAAAAUAUAUUAUUCACAUUUCACCCUUACCAGAGAAGUGAGCUCAAUUUUGACAUAAAGAUAAUUGAGACAGAAAGUUGAUUUAAAACACACUGAGUUCUGACAGCUGCUAAAAUGAAAAGCAGAGAAACAAAUCCAGGCAUCUUGACUGUAAGGCUUGAACUCCUAAUCCCUACAUUCCUAUACUUCACCCACAUUAUAUGAAAAUCUUCAGGUUUCUCUGAAGUUAGAGUUCCAU
rnacentral:lncRNA from 1 species